UACGUAGGGGGCUAGCGUUGUCCGGAAUCAUUGGGCGUAAAGCGCGCGUAGGCGGCCCGGUAAGUCUGUUGUGAAAGUCAAAGGCUCAACCUUUGAAAGCCGAUGGAUACUGCCGGGCUAGAGUCCGGAAGAGGCGAGUGGAAUUCCUGGUGUAGCGGUGGAAUGCGCAGAUAUCAGGAGGAACACCGGUGGCGAAGGCGGUUCUCUGGGCCUUACCUGACACUGAGGAGCGAAAGCGUGGGGAGCGAACAGG
rnacentral:rRNA from 1 species